GACAGAGGGUGCAAGCGUUAAUCGGAAUUACUGGGCGUAAAGCGUGCGCAGGCGGUUAUGUAAGACAGGGGUGAAAUCCCCGGGCUUAACCUGGGAACUGCAUUUGUGACUGCAUAGCUAGAGUACGGUAGAGGGGGAUGGAAUUCCGCGUGUAGCAGUGAAAUGCGUAGAUAUGCGGAGGAACACCGAUGGCGAAGGCAAUCCCCUGGGCCUGUACUGACGCUCAUGCACGAAAGCGUGGGGAGCAAACAGG
rnacentral:rRNA from 1 species